AUUGAACGCUGGCGGCAGGCCUAACACAUGCAAGUCGAACGAGUGGCGGACGGGUGAGUAAUGACUGGGAAACUGCCUGAUGGAGGGGGAUAACUAAUGGAAACGGUAGCUAAUACCGCAUACAAUCGGAUGUGCCAAGAUGGGAUUAGCUAGUAGGUGGGGUAAAGGCUCACCUAGGCGACGAUCCCGAGCUGGUAAGAGAGGAUGACCAGCCACACCUGAACGGAUACACGGUCCCGACUCCUACGGGAGGCAGCAGUGUGGACUAGUGCACAAUGGGCGCAAGCCUGAUGCAUCCAUGCCGCGUGGAUGAAGAAGGCCUUCGGGUUUUAAAGUACUUUCAGCGGGGAGGCGUUACCCGCUGAGGAAGCACCGGCUAACUCCGUGCCAGCAGCCGCGGUAAUUC
rnacentral:rRNA from 1 species